CAGUAGCCGCGGUAAUACGUAGGUGGCAAGCGUUGUCCGGAUUUAUUGGGCGUAAAGCGAGCGCAGGCGGUUCCUUAAGUCUGAUGUGAAAGCCCCCGGCUCAACCGGGGAGGGUCAUUGGAAACUGGGGAACUUGAGUGCAGAAGAGGAGAGUGGAAUUCCAUGUGUAGCGGUGAAAUGCGUAGAUAUAUGGAGGAACACCAGUGGCGAAGGCGACUCUCUGGUCUGUAACUGACGCUGAGGCUCGAAAGCGUGGGUAGCAAACAGGAUUAGAUACCCCUGUAGUCCCUGUCUCUUAUAC
rnacentral:rRNA from 1 species